UACAGAGGUCCCAAGCGUUGUUCGGAUUCAUUGGGCGUAAAGGGUGCGUAGGUGGCGCCGUAAGUGGGGUGUGAAAUUUCGGAGCUUAACUCCGAAACUGCAUUCCAUACUGCGGUGCUUGAGGACUGGAGAGGAGACUGGAAUUUACGGUGUAGCAGUGAAAUACGUAGAGAUCGUAAGGAAGACCAGUGGCGAAGGCGGGUCUCUGGACAGUUCCUGACGCUGAGGCACGAAGGCCAGGGGAGCAAACGGG
rnacentral:rRNA from 1 species